UGUGUAUAUAUAUAUAUAUAUAUAUAUAUAUAUAUAUAUAUAUAUAUACAACAGACUUCUUUCAGUUUCCACCCACCGAAUCCACUACCAAGGCUUUGAUCAGCUCAGGGAUUUAAUAGAAGACACUUGUCCAACAUGCCAUACAAUGAGACUGAGUCUCAGACACACAGAAACAUGUAUCCAUUUCAGAUAUGGGUAGAACUGACAGAUUGAUAGCUCUUUCUCAAUUCAGUGGGUGAUGGUGCAAAGCCAUUCAUAGUUGUGAAGCAAUCUGUCUGGUUAAUUCCAAAAACCAAACAAGACUCUGGCCUGCUAACUAGCACAUCAAAUAGCACUAUUCUGGUAGUGCGGCUUUGCUAAAGCUGUCACUGGUUGCUCUGCAUGCAGGCUGAGCUUGCCAUUGCCACCACUCUCUUUCAUGUCCAUUGUUGUGGCCACAGCCAGUUAUCAUAUGGUCAUGACACCAGUUGUAGAGUAAUGACAAUAACCUGAUCAGGUCAGCUCAGCUCACGAAAGCCCAACAAUAGCAUGCUGUUGCAUCUAAGCUGGUUGGUUGGUGAACACAGCACUUCUUAGAGGGAUGGAUGGCAGAAAGUUGCAUGAAGUGGAGUGAUAAUAGGUCUGUGAUACCCUUGGAUGUCCGGGGCUGCACGUGCACUAUCCUGGAGGUAUCUAUGGGUGUGUCUCUCCCAGCCCAGGAGGGUUGAGAAACUUCUGAACUGCCUUCAGUGAUAGGGAUUAGGGCCUGGAACCAACCCUGUGAAGAAGGACUUCUCAGCAGGCAUGGGUCAUAAACUCACAUUGAUCACAUCUCUGCCCUUUGUACACACAGCCUAUUUAUUGCUACUACCAAUAGAAUGGUCCAGUGAAGUCCUCAAAUCUAGCCAACAAGUCUACUUAUGCAUGGCAGUGUUUCACAUUGUAGUCAGUGCAUUCUCUGAUGGCUCGAAAAAGACAACCAAAAUCAAUCACUUAGAAGAAUUAAAAGUUAUAACAACCAUGCAGCCAUGCACAUGC
rnacentral:ncRNA from 1 species